UACGAAGGGUGCAAACGUUGCUCGGAAUCAUUGGGCGUAAAGGGCGCGUAGGCGGCCUGCUAAGUCGAACGUGAAAUCCCCGGGCUCAACCCGGGAACUGCGUCCGAUACUGGUUGGCUUGAAUCCGGGAGAGGGAUGCGGAAUUCCAGGUGUAGCGGUGAAAUGCGUAGAUAUCUGGAGGAACACCGGUGGCGAAGGCGGCAUCCUGGACCGGCAUUGACGCUGAGGCGCGAAAGCCAGGGGAGCAAACGGG
rnacentral:rRNA from 1 species